ACAGGGAUUGCCCUAGUAACGGCGAGUGAAGCGGCAACAGCUCAAAUUUGAAAUCUGGCUCUCGGGCCCGAGUUGUAAUUUGUAGAGGAUGCUUUUGAUGCGGUGCCUUCCGAGUUCCCUGGAACGGGACGCCAUAGAGGGUGAGAGCCCCGUCUGGUUGGAUGCCAAAUCUCUGUAAAGCUCCUUCAACGAGUCGAGUAGUUUGGGAAUGCUGCUCUAAAUGGGAGGUAUAUGUCUUCUAAAGCUAAAUACCGGCCAGAGACCGAUAGCGCACAAGUAGAGUGAUCGAAAGAUGAAAAGCACUUUGAAAAGAGAGUUAAAAAGUACGUGAAAUUGUUGAAAGGGAAGCGUUUGUGACCAGACUUGGGCUUGGUUAAUCAUCUGGGGUUCUCCCCAGUGCACUUCUCCAGCUCAGGCCAGCAUCAGUUUUCCCCGGGGGACAAAGGCGGUGGGAAUGUGGCUCCCUUCGGGGAGUGUUAUAGCCCAUCGUGUAAUACCCUGGGGGGGACUGAGGUUCGCGCAUCUGCAAGGAUGCUGGCGUAAUGGUCAUCAACGACCCGUCUUGAAACACGGACCAAGGAGUCGUCUUCGUAUGCGAGUGUUCGGGUGUCAAACCCCUACGCGUAAUGAAAGUGAACGCAGGUGAGAGCUUCGGCGCAUCAUCGACCGAUCCUGAUGUUCUCGGAUGGAUUUGAGUAAGAGCAUACGGGGCCGGACCCGAAAGAAGGUGAACUAUGCCUGUAUAGGGUGAAGCCAGAGGAAACUCUGGUGGAGGCUCGCAGCGGUUCUGACGUGCAAAUCGAUCGUCAAAUAUGGGCAUGGGGGCGAAAGACUAAUCGA
rnacentral:rRNA from 1 species